rnacentral:rRNA from 1 species
CAAGCGUUAUCCGGAAUCAUUGGGCGUAAAGCGUACCGAUAGGUGGUUUAGAAAGUCAGAAGUGAAAUCUCUCARCUUAACUGGGAGACUGUCUUUUGAAACUUCUAAACUAKAGGGGCAAARAGGAARCUGGAACGAACGGUGUAGUARUGAAAUGCGUUGAUAUCGWUCGGAACACCAAUAGSGUASGCAGGCUUCUGGGUGCCACCUGACACUGCUAGGACGAAAGCGUGGGGAGCGAAUGGGAUUAGAUACCCCAGUAGUCCACGCUGUAAACGAUGUACAUUAGGUGCUAGGGAGUAUCGACCCUCCUUAGUACCAUAGCUAACGCGUUAAAUGUACCGCCUGGGGAGUACGGCCGCAAGGCUA